CGACCCGAGCGCAUUAAUAUAUAACGUAGUUUUUAACAAAUCAAUAUAGAAUUGAGCUGGUGCAAUGGAAGAGGCGCCUACUUUUUCCUUUAUUCCAUGAGGUGCAGGGUUCGAAACCCUUUACACCCGAUUUUUUACGUUUUUCAGGUUUUAUUUUGCUGGUUUUAUUUCCUUUUUUCUUCUUUUUUUUUUACGUUUUUUUCAUGUUUCAUGUUUCCUGGGUUUUUUUUUUUGUAUUUUUUUAAAUAUAUUCUUUUUCAGUUUUUUUUUUCUUUUUAGCAUUUUUUUACUGCUUUUCUUUUGCAUUUUUUUUACUGUUUUUAUUUUGCAUUUUUUAUGUAUUUUCUUUAUUUUUCAUUUAUUUUUAAUUUUUAGUUUUUCUUUUGUAUUUUUUAUAUAUUUUUGUGAAAAAUGUAAUACUUUUAAAAUAUUACAUUUCUUCAUAACAAUGAUAUAAUUACUUUUUAUGACGACAAUAAUUACUUGAACAAAUAACUAAAAAUAUAAGUUCUCGUGAGUAAAAAUAACAAUUAUCGUAAACAAAU
rnacentral:lncRNA from 1 species